rnacentral:rRNA from 1 species
UACGGAGGAUGCAAGCGUUAUCCGGAAUGGUUGGGCGUAAAGCGUCCGCAGGUGGCAAUGUAAGUCUGCUGUCAAAGCGUCUGGCUCAACCAGAUACAGGCAGUGGAAACUACAUAGCUAGAGUAAGGUAGGGGUAGAGGGAAUUCCUGGUGUAGCGGUGAAAUGCGUAGAGAUCAGGAAGAACACCGGUGGCGAAGGCGCUCUGCUGGACCUUAACUGACACUGAGGGACGAAAGCUAGGGGAGCGAAUGGG